GAUGAACGCUGGCGGCGUGCCUAAUACAUGCAAGUCGAGCGAAUGGAUUAAGAGCUUGCUCUUAUGAAGUUAGCGGCGGACGGGUGAGUAACACGUGGGUAACCUGCCCAUAAGACUGGGAUAACUCCGGGAAACCGGGGCUAAUACCGGAUAACAUUUUGAACCGCAUGGUUCGAAAUUGAAUGGCGGCUUCGGCUGGCACUUAUGGAUGGACCCGGGUCGCAUUAGCUAGUUGGUGAGGUAACGGCUCACCAAGGCAACGAUGCGUAGCCGACCUGAGAGGGUGAUCGGCCACCCUGGGACUGAGACACGGCCCAGACUCCUACGGGAGGCAGCAGUAGGGAAUCUUCCGCAAUGGACGAAAGUCUGACGGAGCAACGCCGCGUGAGUGAUGAAGGCUUUCGGGUCGUAAAACUCUGUUGUUAGGGAAGAACAAGUGCUAGUUGAAUAAGCUGGCACCUUGACGGUACCUAACCAGAAAGCCACGGCUAACUACGUGCCAGCAGCCGCAGUAA
rnacentral:rRNA from 1 species